UGCUCUGUGGCUUAAUUGGUUAAAGCGCCGGUCUGACGAAUACGGGGUCAUGGGUUCAAAUCCCACCAGAACGU
rnacentral:tRNA from 1 species